AAGUCGUAACAAGGUUUCCGUAGGUGAACCUGCGGAAGAUCUUAGCACGUAUCAUAACGUUAAACCCCCUGCGAACCUUUUUUGUAUGAGUUACAUCCACGUCAUAAACCGGCAUCCCUGGUAAAUCACGCGUGUAAGGUAGUGCGAGGCAAUUGAAAUUCCUCUGCUUGUUAGUUUGAAAGUGUCACUAGCUAUGUAUGGAUGGGCAGUAACGAUCGCCGACACGGCCGGCGACCAGGUCACUGGGCUACGGCCCCCCUGAUCACAACCUUUGCAUGAAAACGGGCCUUGGUUCUC
rnacentral:misc_RNA from 1 species